rnacentral:rRNA from 1 species
AACGAACGCUGGCGGCAUGCCUAACACAUGCAAGUCGAACGAGACCUUCGGGUCUAGUGGCGCACGGGUGCGUAACGCGUGGGAACCUGCCCUUAGGUUCGGAAUAACUCCCCGAAAGGGGUGCUAAUACCGGAUAAUGUCUUCGGACCAAAGAUUUAUCGCCUUUGGAUGGGCCCGCGUUGGAUUAGCUAGUUGGUAGGGUAAAAGCCUACCAAGGCGACGAUCCAUAGCUGGUCUGAGAGGAUGAUCAGCCACACUGGGCCUGAGACGCGGCCCAGACUCAUGCGGGAGGCAGCAGUGGAAAAUAUUGGACAAUGGGCGACAGUCUGAUCAAGCAAUGCCGCGUGAGUGAUGCAGGCCUUAGGGUUGUAAAGCUCUUUUACCCGGGUUGUUAAUGACAGUACCGGGAGAAUAAGCGCCGGCUAACUCCGUG